UUGUUUUUCGUGCCUUUUUAGCUUUAGGCGUCCCAGAGGCAGAUGGGUGUUUUACAGACAUGGUCAAUGGGGGAAACGGCGUUUAACACUAAAAAGGUACGUGAUAAACACAAUGCAAAUUGGAGCACAGAGAAGUAGUAGUGCUGGUGUGAACUGAGAAAGUGAUACCCGGGAAGCUUGCUGGACGUGGUCAAAGUUUUUGUACAGAAUACUUCAUUAUCUUCACCAUUAGAAGUAAUUAUCUUUAUUAUUACAUUAUUAUAAUUAUUAUUAUUAAUAAUAUAAAAUUGUUGAUGUUGAUAUGACUGCAACUUUAUAGUCAUAACUUACAAGUACCUCACCAGGCAUCACACGCGACUCCACUGCCAGACGACCAGGUGAAUACACGAUGCAAAUUUAAACUGUCUUGAGCGCGUUAUUUAAAAAAUAGGUGCGUUUAAAUUAGCUUUUGGUAUUAACUGAACAAUCACGUUGUUCCAAAAACGCUUAAAUCAAACGCACGUAAAACGAGUUACCUGUAUAUAAAGUAAAAGAAUAAUAUCAUUUUAACACCUGUGCUGAACCGAUAUUCCAGCUCAGGAGUGCCACAAGAAACGUGAAGAUUAGUUAUUACAGAAAAACAAAAAAAAUUUAACCCAAAGUUGAUUGUAAAUACAUAAUGCCGCUCAGUCUCAUAUUUUCUCUCUUAAUUAUAUUAUAUUAAUAACUUUAAGCUUUGCAUAAAUCAUUGUUUAUCAAUUUUGAUACCUUACAAAUACUACUUUCUUUUUUACUUUUUCUACUUGUGUGUUUCACUUCAAUUAAUUUAACUUUUGUUUUGUUUUUAAGUAGUUUUGAAGAAAGCUACUUUAUACAAAUUUUAAUUUGUUCAAAGCAACAGUGUAGUACUGUACUUUAUUUUAAGUAAUACUUCCAGGUACUUUCUCCAUCACUGUUUAAAGCGGAUCUGAAUUGAGCUGGACCUGAUGUGAACUAGACUAAAGUGGGCUGGACGUGCAAGUGAAGGAGAUCUGAAGUUAACUGGACCUAAAGGACUAGAUAGUAAUUAAUUACUAUUUUCUGGUACUUUGAAUAUUAGGAUGGUUCUACAGGCAUUCCCCAGUUUAUAAGAGAGUUCUGUUCCUGAAAAACCUUUAGUAAAUCAGAUAAAUUUUCCCAUAGACUUCCAUUAUAAAAGCCGAGAUACUUUUCUAUAAUGAAAAUACUAACCCAAAAUGUCUUAACCCUUAAGCCCCGGGUGACGUUCCAGAACGUCUGCCUAUUUUCCCAUGACACAGAAGUGAGAGUUAACACUGUGGUGUUAAUAACUUUACUAAAGUGAGGAUAUUACUUCAAUAAUUAUGUAAGAGAUAAAAUCACAAAGUAACUUCAUGAAAUUACCGUUUACUGUAUCUUAAAGUAUAGUUAAGUCUUAAUGAUCAAAUUUUUAUGUAAAAAAUUGGGGUCAAACUAUACAUGCAUAAUAUUUUUGAGGGGUUACAAUUUAUGCAUUUCCAUGGGUCAUUUACAGUGAAUGAUAGUACCUGGUGCAGUACGCGCUUAUGGUAGGUUAACCUUACCAGUAAGCUCCUUUAUCCUGGGCUUGCCUACCGACCCCAAGAUCCUAUGUGGCUACAGGAAGAGCAGAACCUUUCACUAUACAGUAUAUGCUGGUUUAAAUAUACAAAUGCCUGAUAGAAUUGGUUUAGAUAUUUUUCUUUGCAUCUGUUUAAAUUACUGGGAGAUUAUCAACUUUCCCCACCUGUGAGCUGUAUGCUAUGUUAUGGUCAGAGUGAGGGAAGAUUGGACUAAAGUUAAUUGAGAGGGAAGACUGCUGGAGACAUAAUUGAAGAGUAUUACAGUGAGGGUGGGAAGGCUGGUGAUAUGAAUUAAAACUAUUCUCAUGUAAUGUAUAUGUGGGAGAAACUUGACUAGAACAUAAGACUUUACUGUACUGUAGCAGAAGAAGAGUGAGGAAACACCUUAGGAUAGACUGAAGUUUUAUACAAGCAAAGGAAGGAUAUGUGCCACUUAAUCUGCACUGGAUUAUUUUUUUAAUUUCUUCCACAUCCUAGGUUUAGGUUUCACUUCUUCAGAACUCAACCAUAAAGAGAGUCACCUAUCAACUGGAAUCAACUGAAUCUGACCAUCUUUCCCCGACCUUUAGGACGGGGUCAGAAGUCUAUUCUGGGAAGGAUGUUUUUGGACCAGCAUGCUUGUUUGUCCAGUGGUUCCAGGAGUCAGGAUCCUCUUGAGGGAGAAACCUGGCCCUCAGACUUGGCAUCAGCCAGGUUCAGGAGGAGACGUCUGGUCCUGCAGCAACACAGCACAGCACCUUAUAUCACGGCUCCUGUACAGAAGAAAACUUAUCUACUGAUUCUUGGCAGAUUAUGUUACCAUUUGAGGUGAACUGAAGCCUUGAUGUAAUAGUGAUUGAAGACUACAGUACAGGAGGAGAGAGAGUGUUAUCUGGCAUUGGUAUUAAAAUAGUUAGCAACUGUGUGUUAAUAACUUACAGGGUUCAGUUUAACACAGAUAGGCUCAUCAUAUAUUUUAAUAAAGUACAGGUAUCCCCCAAGAUACUUACAGUAUGUCCAAUAAAUGAACAAUCAUUAUUACAAAAAUAUCAGUUUGACUUGACAAAUUCCCCUCAGUCACAGGGUCAGUAUAGCCCAGUGGUGCAUUGGCACUAUUGCAGAAUGUUGGUUGUGUUUAAUGUAUUUAUUAUUUUACAAGAAUUAUAUUGGUGAAAAACCCA
rnacentral:lncRNA from 1 species